UACGUAGGGUGCAAGCGUUGUCCGGAAUUAUUGGGCGUAAAGAGCUCGUAGGCGGCUUGUCGCGUCGGCUGUGAAAACCUGGGGCUCAACCCCGGGCCUGCAGCCGAUACGGGCAGCUAGAAUUCGGUAGGGGAGACUGGAAUUCCUGGUGUAGCGGUGAAAUGCGCAGAUAUCAGGAGGAACACCGGUGGCGAAGGCGGGUCUCUGGGCCGAAAUUGACGCUGAGACGCGAAAGCGUGGGGAGCGAACAGG
rnacentral:rRNA from 1 species